CUCCACCCCAAUGGCCAAAGCCAAUUGACUUGCAGCGGGGUUUUAGCUUCUUUUUUUUUUACAAGAGUCUUGAGUGUGCAAAACUAUUUGAUGGUCCGGUGAUGGUAUUGGUUAUUGGCUGAUUGGUUGAGGGUAUGAGGUAGAUAGCGGAAUUGAACCAUGAACUCCAUUUGCUGUAGAGAUGAGAGUUGUUUUGUUGCAUUUUGUAUUCAUGCUCACUUCUUUGCUUUUGUGAGAACCUGGGAGAGGGAUGCUUUGAUGUGGGUAAUGGAAAUACAAGGAAGAAAACAAACACAUAUUGAGGAGGAAAGUGUAUGUCCAAGCAUUCUGCAUCGUCGUCAUCCCCCACCAUGUUGGUAAGAUGGUAAUGCUCAGAGCAAUACAAUGUAGUCAGCCAGUGAGACAUUUUUUUUUUAGAGAAGUCGUGUUACAUAAUGCUUUAUCAGUGGGACAUUGCAGUCAAGGUGCAUCUUCACUCUUGCAAUUUGUGAUCGUUCCAAGAGAAAAUUGCUUGUGCAAUCUUUCGUAAAUAUUUCCACGCUCUGUAUUAGUAAGUGCAAGUGUUCCUGAUGUUCAGGCAUGAACCCCUUCCCCAAGUGUAUGUGAAAAACGGAAGAUGUUGAGCUCUUGUAGGCUCGAACAUCGUAUUC